rnacentral:rRNA from 1 species
UGCCCUGUGACUUAAGAGUUUAACGGCCGCGGUAUCUUGACCGUGCGAAGGUAGCGCAAUCACUUGUCCUUUAAAUGAGGACCCGUAUGAAUGGCAUAACGAGGGCUCAACUGUCUCCCCCCUCCAGUCAAUGAAAUUGAUCUUCCCGUGCAGAAGCGGGAAUACCCCCAUAAGACGAGAAGACCCUAUGGAGCUUUAGACAUCAAGCAGCCCACUAAAAACAAGCCACCCCAAUGGCUUCAAGCAACGUGGAACCCUGCCGAACUGUCUUCGGUUGGGGCGACCGUGGGAUACAGAAAACCUCCCAUGAGGACCGGGAAAACUUCCCAAAACCAAGGGCUACCGCCCUAAGCAACAGAAACUCUGACCUUAAUGAUCCGGCCCACCAGCCGAUCAACGGACCGAGUUACCCUAGGGAUAACAGCGCAAUCCCCUCCUAGAGCCCCCAUCGACGAGAGGGUUUACGACCUCGAUGUUGGAUCAGGACAUCCUAAUGGUGCAGCCGCUAUUAAGGGUUCGUUUGUUCAACGAUUAAAGUCCUACGUGAUCUGAGUUCAGACCGGACC